rnacentral:rRNA from 1 species
UACGAAGGGGGCUAGCGUUGCUCGGAAUUACUGGGCGUAAAGCGCACGUAGGCGGCUCUUUAAGUCGGGGGUGAAAUCCUGGAGCUCAACUCCAGAACUGCCUUCGAUACUGAAGAGCUUGAGUCCGGGAGAGGUGAGUGGAACUGCGAGUGUAGAGGUGAAAUUCGUAGAUAUUCGCAAGAACACCGGUGGCGAAGGCGGCUCACUGGCUCAUAUCUGACGCUCAGGCGCGACAGCGUGGGGAUCAAACAGG